rnacentral:tRNA from 1 species
CAGAAAGUAGUUUAUAAAAAAUAAUAAUUUUGGGGAUUAUUGAAAAGAGUAAUCUUUUUUCUGA